rnacentral:rRNA from 1 species
CACUCCUUGACAUGGAAAUUAUACCUAUUCGAAGGGAUAGGGUCGGUUCGGCCGGGUUUCACACAGGUGUUGCAUGGCUGUCGUCAGCUCGUGUCGUGAGAUGUUGGGUUAAGUCCCGCAACGAGCGCAACCCUCAUCCUUAGUUACCAUCAGGUAAUGCUGGGGACUUUAAGGAAACUGCCAGUGAUAAACUGGAGGAAGGUGGGGAUGAUGUCAAGUCAUCAUGGCCCUUAUGGAGUGGGCUACACACGUGCUACAAUGGUGGCUACAAUGGGCUGCAAAGUCGCGAGGCUAAGCCAAUCCCUUAAAAGCCAUCUCAGUUCGGAUUGUACUCUGCAACUCGAGUGCAUGAAGUCGGAAUCGCUAGUAAUCGCGGAUCAGAAUGCCGCGGUGAAUA